rnacentral:rRNA from 1 species
GGCGGCGUGCAUGAGACAUGCAAGUCGAACGGACGAUCAGGGCUUGCUCUGAUCGUUAGUGGCGGACGGCUGAGUAACGCGUGGGUGACCUACCCCGAAGUGGGGAAUAACUGCCCGAAAGGGUGGCUAAUACCGCAUGUGAUCGUUGAUUCAUUUUUUCGAUCAAAGCCGCAAGGCGCUUCGGGAGGGGCCUGCGUCCGAUUAGCUCGUUGGUGGGGUAAUGGCUCACCAAGGCGACGAUCGGUAGGUGGUCUGAGAGGACGAUCACCCAGACUGGGACUGAGACACGGCCCAGACUCCUACGGGAGGCAGCAGUCGGGAAUUUUGCUCAAUGGGCGAAAGCCUGAAGCAGCAACGCCGCGUGAGGGAUGAAGGCCUUCGGGUUGUAAACCUCUUUUAUCAGGGACGAUUAUGACGGU